GGAUCCACCACUCCUGGUUGGUUUUUCAAUUUCUCGUGAAUCUAGCUCUCGCCGGUGAGGUGGGGCUCCCCUCACAUCAUCGGCUUCCGUGCCGCACCGGCGAAGCCCUGCACCGCCGGCUUCCGUGCCGCCCCGGCGAGCUGCAGCCACCUUUCUGAGAUGUACCACCGCCUGCUCCCCAAUUUAUCGCGAAUCGGCCUCCCGCCGGCUACCGUCUGGUGAGGCGGGGCUCCCCCUCGCCGUCCCGGCGGGGCCCUGCGCCACCGGCUCCCAUGCCACACCGGCGAGGCCCUACGCUGCUGAAGACUCCCCCCUUGCCAUCGCGGCGGGGCCCUGCGCCGCCGGCACCCGUGCCGCCCCGCACGAGGCCCUGCGCCGCUGAAGAUCUCCACGCCGUUCACCGUUCAGCGGUAGUGUGAGACCUUGCGUCGCCAUCGACCCUCUUUUUCACGUGUGCCGCCCGUCGAGCUGCAGCGCCAGGUGCAGUAUCAUUUGCCGCUGCGCCGCGUCCUCGACUCGUCCGCCUCUGGCUGCCGUGGAGAGACCCUCCUUCUGGUGCCAGGACCAUAGACAUGAGGACAUGGAACAGCUGGUGUAUGAUUACGAAGUUGGUAUAUGAUUACUGAGACGAGCCUUGCACAAAGAGGCUGAUGGAUAAUGGAUGACCGGAUUGAUCCUACUGCUGAGUGCUGACAGCCAUUUUAACCAACAGGAAGCGAAAAGCGGACAAUGAACCAUGUGUCGUGAAUCCAACCUCUGCUGGCUCUGACCUGACCUCACCGUGUGGAGUAUCCUCUCUACAUGUCUUGAGCUUCAGGACCAUCUUCUCGCGAAACUUCCAUGACCUGUCUAAUGUGCAUGUCGUCUAAAUUGACAUUGUUAACAAGUUUUAGCUGCAGGCUGGCUAAUGUGCACGUCGUCUUAAUUUGACAUCAUUAAAAAGUUUUAUCUGUCGCUGUUAGUCUCGUUGCAUUCAGAAGAAACAGUUUGGACUAUUCUUUUUUUAAUGAACUUAUACUCUGUAAAUUAAUUAGUUGUUUACUUUUAGUCUGUGCCUGCACAUUUACUUGUUGAUACGUUUGUUAAUAUCCGCUGAUAUAUUCCAUCAUGAGACCAUUACUGCUGCUAUAUCUGCAGAACUUUUUGAAGCAUCAGCAUUAAUUAUUGUCACAUUCCUUUAUUAUCAGGUACAUCGAACAGAAUGGGUUGAAUGCUUAUUUGAACAAGUACAGAAUUAAGCUUGACCCUCAGCUUGAAGCUCUUGUUUGAAGGAAAUCGUGGCCGAAGUUUAUUAACGCGGAUAACCAACACCUAGUAUCUCCUGAGAUGUGGCCUAAUGGCUCUUGCAUUUCAAAUGUACUUACCUAGGAUAGGUAGUUCUUGCCUCUAGCUUGAUUUCUUUGUUUAUCUGUAGGCCAUAGAUUUCCUCGACAAGCUUCCGCGUUAUGAUCACCAGGACAGGCUUACUGCACGUGAAGCAAUGAUGCCAAGAAGAAAAUCCGGGCAUUCGCUCAAAAUGCUCUCGCGUUGGUGUGUCACAUUGUCACAGCAAUCAGCAUUCGGGGUCAUUUGAAAUCCCACGUGGUGGUGCUCACACAGCAGAGUACGAUUUGUCAAAAGGACGAGCUUGCAUUCUAUUCCUUUCCUCUGAUUGCAAGGAUGUAACUCCACCGAGAUAGCAUAUUGUACUGUUCUGUUUUCAUAUGUUUUUUUUACUCAUCAUACAACAAAUAGGUCGAUUUUGAUGUGAGUACCAGAAAAGAACUUUGGUUAAUGCUCUUGGAUGAUAUGUCCAUGAAGCUUUCAUACACUUGUCUCCUGCACUGAAGAGCAUUCUCUGCAUCAGCUUUUACUUUUACCAUGGAGAUGAAACUACUACUGGAGGGAGCAUUAUA